rnacentral:lncRNA from 1 species
AAUGAAAGACCUGACAAGAAGCAUGAGUAACCAAUGUUUCAUCACAAGCAAAGAAUGCAAAUACGUGAAUACUCAGAGCAUCAUGUGUAAGUACUCAAAAGAGACAGAGAAGCAGAAGACAUCUCACUGGAAACAAAUGUUGAGUAGCCAUAUAAAUCCUUGCGCUUCAUCUUCAAUUUGAGCAUGUCAAAAAUUUCCAGUCAUCAGAUCUUUAACCCCAGACAGCAGAAAACUGAAUCCUUG